rnacentral:rRNA from 1 species
CCUACGGGUGGCAGCAGUCGAGAAUCAUUCACAAUGGGGGAAACCCUGAUGGUGCGACGCCGCGUGGGGGAAUGAAGGUCUUCGGAUUGUAAACCCCUGUCAUGUGGGAGCAAAUUAAAAAGAUAGUACCACAAGAGGAAGAGACGGCUAACUCUGUGCCAGCAGCCGCGGUAAUACAGAGGUCUCAAGCGUUGUUCGGAAUCACUGGGCGUAAAGCGUGCGUAGGCUGUUUCGUAAGUCGUGUGUGAAAGGCGCGGGCUCAACCCGCGGACGGCACAUGAUACUGCGAGACUAGAGUAAGGGAGGGGGAACCGGAAUUCUCGGUGUAGCAGUGAAAUGCGUAGAUAGCGAGAGGAACACUCGUGGCGAAGGCGGGUUCCUGGACAUUAACUGACGCUGAGGCACGAAGGCCAGGGGAGCGAAAGGGAUUAGAUACCCGUGUAGUC